rnacentral:rRNA from 1 species
AGUGAACGCUGGCGGUAGGCCUAACACAUGCCAGUCGAACGGCAGCACAGUAAGAGCUUGCUCUUACGGGUGGCGAGUGGCGGACGGGUGAGGAAUACAUCGGAAUCUACUUUUUCGUGGGGGAUAACGUAGGGAAACUUACGCUAAUACCGCAUACGACCUACGGGUGAAAGCAGGGGAUCUUCGGACCUUGCGCGAUUGAAUGAGCCGAUGUCGGAUUAGCUAGUUGGCGGGGUAAUGGCCCACCAAGGCGACGAUCCGUAGCUGGUCUGAGAGGAUGAUCAGCCACACUGGAACUGAGACACGGUCCAGACUCCUACGGGAGGCAGCAGUGGGGAAUAUUGGACAAUGGGCGCAAGCCUGAUCCAGCCAUACCGCGUGGGUGAAGAAGGCCUUCGGGUUGUAAAGCCCUUUUGUUGGGAAAGAAAAGCAGCAGGUUAAUACCCCGCUGUUCUGACGGUACCCAAAGAAUAAGCACCGGCUAACUUCGUG